rnacentral:rRNA from 1 species
AUUGAACGCUGGCGGCAGGCCUAACACAUGCAAGUCGAGCGGAGCGGCGGACGGGUGAGUAAUGCCUAGGAAUCUGCCUGGUAGUGGGGGAUAACGUCCGGAAACGGGCGCUAAUACCGCAUACUAUCAGAUGAGCCUAGGCGGGAUUAGCUAGUUGGUGGGGUAAAGGCCUACCAAGGCGACGAUCCGUACCUGGUCUGAGAGGAUGAUCAGUCAAACUGGGACUGAGACACGGCCCAGACUCCUACGGGAGGCAGCAGUGGGGAAUAUUGGACAAUGGGCGCAAGCCUGAUGCAGCCAUGCCGCGUGGGUGAAGAAGGUCUUCGGGUUGUAAAGGACUUUCAGUAGGGAGGCGUUACCAACAGAAGAAGCACCGGCUAACUCCGGGCCAGCAGCCGCGGUAAUAC